UUUUUGUCAAAAGAGACCCUGCAGCUAAGAGACAAAGAAGAGAGGAAACUCCCAAAGGGGAUCUCCUUCCUGUCCUCCAUGUCAGAAGCCACCUCAAGCGAGGUGGCUGUGACUCUGGGCUGGAGAGAGAUAGCAAACCAGAGGUCUCCAUACAGCGGAGCCAGCCCUGACUGUGCCUUGUAAGGGGUUUCCUGGUGCCGAGUACAACCAGGGUAACCUGCAUGGGUGACCUAGAAGCGGCACAGGAUGAGCUUGCAACACCAAACUUAACAGAGCAUGGAUGGUCCAGGAGUUGAAAAUGCAGCUCAAGUU
rnacentral:lncRNA from 1 species